AUACAACACACAAUAUAACAACCUCACCAGUCAGUACAACAGGUGCCUCAAACAAUAUACCAACAUCACCAAUCAGUACAACAAAUAUGACACACAAUAUAAUAAUCCCACCAGUGAGUGCAACAGGUACACCAUACAAUACAACAACCUCACCAGUCAGCACAACAGAUACAACACACAAGAUGACAACCUCACCAGUCAGCAACAACAGGUCAACCAGAUACAACACUCAAUAUCACAACCUCAUCAGUCAGCACAACAGGUACCUCAAACAAUAUAUCAACAUCACCAAUCAGUACAACAAAUAUGACACACAAUAUAAUAAUCCCACCAGUCAGCGCAACAGGUACACCAUAUAAUACAACAACCUCACCAGUCAGUACAACAGAUACAACACACAAUACAACAACUUCACCAGUCAGCACAAUAGGUACCUCAAACAAUAUACCAACAUCACCAAUCAGUACAACAAAUAUGACACACAAUAUAAUAAUCCCACCAGUCAGUGCAACAGGUACACCAUACAAUAUAACAACCUCACCAGUCAGUACAACAAAAACAACACUCAAUUUAACAACCUCACUGAUCCAUACAACAGAUACAGCACACAGUAUAACACCCUCACUGGUCCAUACAAUAGAUCCAACACACAAUAUAACAACCCCAGCCAAAAUAACAGAAACCACAUUCGAUACAACAAAUUCAUCGGCCAGUACAAGAGAUACAACACUCAAUGUAACAGCUGCACUGGUCCAUACAACAAGUACACCACAUAAUAUUACAACCUCUCCAGUCAAAACAACAGAAAUGACAAUCAACACAACAACCUCAUUGGACAGUACAACAGAUAUAGCACUCAAUGUAACAACCCCACCGGUCAAUACAACAGUACAAAACUUAACAUAUUCAGUCAACACAACAGUCACACCACUCAACCUAACUGUCACAAGACUCAGUUCAACAAACCCUACAGUCAGUACAACAGCCACAUCAAUUGACACAACAGCUGCAACAGUCACAGCACUUGAUAAAACUACAACAACACUCAACACAUUAAUCAUGCCACUUAAUACAACAGGUAUGUCACUCAUUACAACAGCCAUGCCACCUUCUCAGGUGGAAACAACAACACCACCCAAUACAACAGCACAGAUAAGUAAAACUCUUACUACAACAGUUAGACCAUUAAAUGCAACAGCUGCACCUCACUUUUCUACUGCCGUGCCACUCAUCUCAACUGCACUACAUCAUACAAUAGUCACACCAUUCAAUACAACAGUGGAAGUUCCAAACUCAACUUUCACAUCUGAAAUUGUGGAAAAUGGGACACAAUCUAGCACAAAUAGUUCUCAAAUCUCUGGCACAGAGUCCACCACCACCACAACCUUUCUGCCAAAUACAACACUGUUUAACUUGACAGCACUAUUACACCUAAAUGCAACAACACCCCCAUUAAACACUACACAACACAGCACCACAUUCACAAUUCAUUUAAACACUACUGAACAAGACAUCACAACAGUAUUUAACACUACAUUAUUCAGUCACAAUGUAACAACUCUCAUAGAAAAUAGGACAGAUUUAUCAAUACCUAAUGUAACAGAGGUUAACGUAACACUUAAAAUUACUACGAACCACAAAAACACAGCACAUCUAAACGUGAGCUCUCCUGUCUUAAAUACCACAACACAAUACCCACAUGUUACACAAUAUAACACAACCACUCUAUUUGAAAAUGCAACACACUCAAAUAAUACAAGCCUAGCCCACACUACAGAAUCACCAAGUAACGUAAAUGAAUCAAACACAACUCAACCUCUUGAAAGUACAUCUGAAUUAAAUACAACAGCCAUUUCGUAUUACACAACACAACUUCUGAAUGUUUCGACAGUGGAGACCACAGAUGCUGAAACUGAUACCACUACAGAUACACUAGAAUUUAAUACUACAAUGUAUUCAUUUAACUUCACAACUUCAACUCUUUCCUUCAGUGGAAUACAGAAAAUUAUAUUUUGA
rnacentral:lncRNA from 1 species